UACGGGAGGCAACAGUGGGGAAUAUUGCACAAUGGGCGCAAGCCUGAUGCAGCCAUGCCGCGUGUAUGAAGAAGGCCUUCGGGUUGUAAAGUACUUUCAGUCGUGAGGAAGGUGUUAAGGUUAAUAACCUUAGCAAUUGACGUUAGCGACAGAAGAAGCACCGGCUAACUCCGUGCCAGCAGCCGCGGUAAUACGGAGGGUGCGAGCGUUAAUCGGAAUUACUGGGCGUAAAGGGCACGCAGGCGGUUAAUUAAGUUGGAUGUGAAAUCCCCGGGCUUAACCUGGGAAUGGCAUUCAAGACUGGUUAGCUAGAGUCUUGUAGAGGGGGUAGAAUUCCAUGUGUAGCGGUGAAAUGCGUAGAGAUGUGGAGGAAUACCGGUGGCGAAGGCGGCCCCUGGACAAAGACUGACGCUCAUGUGCGAAAGCGUGGGGAGCGAAACAGGGAUUAGAUACC
rnacentral:rRNA from 1 species